UACUAGUUCCGGGUUCGAGUCCCGGGCAACCCA
rnacentral:tRNA from 1 species